AGCAGCAAUAGUGAAACGUUCUGGAGACAGUUCUAGCUCAUAGUAAACCAGAAGUCUUGAAAGCUGCAUCUAUUUGUGUGUGCUCUCUACAACUUCCUUUAACAGUGACCUCGUCCCUGUCUGGGCCCUGAACCUGAGAUGUCGGCUACAUGGGGCACUGGCCACCCUAACGAGCCGAAGAAGCCUCGACACCUAUUGAGAACAUGAGGCAGUGGCACGGCAAGGCGCGGCUAGCAAGGCCCGAUACAUGACGUAUGAGGAAAAGACGUAGCAGGAUACAUCUGUACAAGUACUCGCAUGCAACCUUGAUAUCUGCCAUCUGCUUCUAUCUAUCCAAGAUGGUUAACCUCCAGAUCUCCAAUGGUUGAAACCUCCUGGGAUAUUUGUUUUCUUGUAAUUUUUAUUAAAAAAAAGAUUUGCCUGGAGAGAUAUGUAAAUGUAUAUGCCUUAUUAAUAUUUUGGGAGCUUUCUUGGAACUUUUUGUUUCCUUGUAAUCCUCAAAGAUUUGCCUGCAGAGAUUUAUCAAUGUACAGCAGGCAUGUCAAACUCCAAAUCCCAAUUGGGCCAAAUAAUCAAUGUUUAAGAUUGUGAGGUGCCACAAGAAAAAUAAAAACUCUUAUAAGCCAUUUUAAAAGGUCUAUUCUUUACAAAAAAACAACAAUAAAGUUUAAUGUUUUCUUUCUGAUACUUGGCAUUUCUUUUCUGUCACCAAUUUUCCUAUUUUUCUAGUUCAUAACAGCACUGAUUAUAGGUCUGAAAUAAUAUGCACCCCUUGUUUGUCACUUUUGUAACAGUGGUAAUACCAGUAAUUCUUUUUUGGAAAGUCCCGUUCUGUUUUCAUUUUGAUCCUAAAUAAAUAUGGUAAAGGUGCCUACCGGUAAGUUUAUGGAUCCGGUCACGCACUUCUUAUUGUAGCUGUAGCACCAUGCUCCCUAACCAUCUCCACAUGGUAUCAGGUAUCUGCCUUCUGCCACCAUGUCCUGCAGGCAGCGCUUGCUUCAGUUGCUGGAAGGGGUAUAAUAUAAUACCUCCCAACAUGACUCUCUCCAGGAUCUGUGCUGAAACACCUUUCUUAUCCAUUAACCUGCUCAACACAGGUGCCGGCAAUCAUAAAUUAAAAGUCCAGAAGCAAAGCAUUGUGUCCCUCCUGGAAAGUGUC